rnacentral:rRNA from 1 species
UGAGGAAUAUUGGUCAAUGGGCGCAAGCCUGAACCAGCCAUGCCGCGUGCAGGAUGAAGCAUCUAUGGUGUGUAAACUGCUUUUGUACGGGAAGAAACCACCCCUCGUGAGGGGUAUUGACGGUACCGUAAGAAUAAGGAUCGGCUAACUCCGUGCCAGCAGCCGCGGUAAUACGGAGGAUCCAAGCGUUAUCCGGAAUCAUUGGGUUUAAAGGGUCCGUAGGCGGGUCUGUAAGUCAGUGGUGAAAUCUCCCCGCUCAACGGGGAAACUGCCAUUGAUACUGCAGUUCUUGAAUUAUUGGGAAGUAACUAGAAUAUGUAGUGUAGCGGUGAAAUGCUUAGAGAUUACAUGGAAUACCGAUUGCGAAGGCAAUCCCCUGGACCUGUACUGACGCUCAUGCACGAAAGCGUGGGGAGCAAACA